GAUGAACGCUGGCGGCGUGCCUAAUACAUGCAAGUCGAGCGAACAGACGAGGAGCUUGCUCCUCUGACGUUAGCGGCGGACGGGUGAGUAACACGUGGAUAACCUACCUAUAAGACUGGGAUAACUUCGGGAAACCGGAGCUAAUACCGGAUAAUAUAUUGAACCGCAUGGUUCAAUAGUGAAAGACGGUUUUGCUGUCACUUAUAGAUGGAUCCGCGCCGCAUUAGCUAGUUGGUAAGGUAACGGCUUACCAAGGCAACGAUGCGUAGCCGACCUGAGAGGAUGAUCGGCCGCACUGGAACUGAGACACGGUCCAGACUCCUACGGGAGGCAGCAGUAGGGAAUCUUCCGCAAUGGGCGAAAGCUUGACGGAGCAACGCCGCGUGAGUGAUGAAGGUCUUCGGAUCGUAAAACUCUGUUAUUAGGGAAGAACAAAUGUGUAAGUAACUAUGCACGUCUUGACGGUACCUAAUCAGAAAGCCACGGCUAACUACGUG
rnacentral:rRNA from 1 species